rnacentral:misc_RNA from 1 species
AAGGAUCAUUAUCGUGGGGAUUCGUCCCUAUCGAGAUAGCACCCUUUGUCUAUGAGAACCUUCUGUUUCCUCGGCGGGUUACGCCCGCCAAUGGGGACCCUUUAAACCCUUUGCAGUAGCAGUAAACUUCUGAUAUAAAUAAAUAUUAAAACUUUCAACAACGGAUCUCUUGGUUCUG